rnacentral:pre_miRNA from 1 species
CCUAGUUUCCGUGCCUAACGUUUGACCGUCCGUCUUAUUUAAAAAAAUUAUGAAAAAAAUUAAAAAAUAAGUCACGCAUAAAAUAUUAAUCAUGUUUUAUCAUCUAACAACAAUAAAAAUACGAAUUAUAAAAAAAUUUCAUAUAAAACGGACAGUUAAAGUUGGACACGGAAAUUCAGUGUUUGCUUUUUU